rfam:Salmo salar isolate Sally breed double haploid chromosome ssa19, whole genome shotgun sequence.
CCAAAGGCUCUUUUCAGAGACACCUAAUAAAUGAUAAUAAACACAGU